AUGCUUUCGCCCGGGCAGCGUGAGGAAGCGGCGACCCGCGGUCCCCGGUGUGGGCGCCCGCGUGUGUGCGCACGUGUGCGCGCCCUGCCCGGGGCCCCGGCGACCACCUGUCACUCACCGCGGCGGCCGGGCGGCGGCCCGCGGAGGCACCCCCCGGGGGGCACCCGAGCCGCCGCCGCCGAGACGCGGCAAUGCCCCCUUCCGCCCCCGCCGGGCCCCCGCAGCCGCCGCCGAUUGGUCGCCCUUUGCUCCCUGACCCCCCGGCCGCCUCCGCGGCUGCCGCUUCCUGCUCCGGCGCCGCGCGGCGCUCCCGGCCGGGGCGGAGCUCGGGCGCCGGGCGCGCGCCGCCCUCGCCGCCAGCCGCGCCGGGGGAGGAGCCGCCGCGCCCUUCCCCUUCCUGCGCUCCGCCCCGGCCCGCGCCCGCCGCGGCCCCAGGCAGACUCGCGAGCAGCGGCCGCGGCCGGCGGCCGAGUCGGGAGGAUGCGGCGGCGCUCGCGGAUGCUGCUCUGCUUCGCCUUCCUGUGGGUGCUGGGCAUCGCCUACUACAUGUACUCGGGGGGCGGCUCCGCACUGGCCGCGGGCGCGGGCGGCGGCGCCGGCAGGAAGGAGGACUGGAAUGACAUUGACCCAGUUAAAAAGAAAGACCUGCAUCACAGCAACGGGGAUGAGAAAGCACACAGCAUGGAGACCCUCCCUCCAGGGAAAGUGCGAUGGCGGGACUUUAACCAGGAGGCUUACGUUGGCGGGACAAUGGUCCGCUCCGGGCAGGACCCCUAUGCACGCAACAAGUUCAACCAAGUCGAGAGCGAUAAGCUGCGGAUGGACAGAGCAGUUCCCGACACUAGGCAUGACCAGUGUCAGCGGAAGCAGUGGCGGGUAGAUCUGCCAGCCACCAGCGUGGUCAUCACGUUUCACAAUGAAGCCAGGUCAGCUUUGCUGAGGACAGUGGUCAGUGUCCUUAAGAAAAGCCCGCCCCACCUGAUAAAAGAAAUCAUCUUGGUGGAUGACUACAGCAAUGACCCUGAAGACGGGGCUCUCUUGGGGAAAAUUGAGAAAGUACGUGUACUCCGAAACGAUCGGCGAGAAGGCCUGAUGAGGUCGCGGGUGCGGGGGGCCGACGCGGCGCAGGCCAAGGUCCUGACCUUCCUGGACAGCCACUGCGAGUGCAACGAGCGCUGGCUGGAGCCCCUCCUGGAGAGGGUGGCUGAGGACAGGACCCGUGUCGUGUCCCCCAUCAUUGAUGUCAUCAACAUGGACAACUUUCAGUACGUGGGCGCGUCUGCGGACUUAAAAGGCGGUUUUGACUGGAACUUGGUGUUCAAAUGGGAUUACAUGACCCCUGAGCAGAGACGGUCCCGGCAGGGGAACCCCGUCGCUCCCAUAAAAACCCCUAUGAUUGCUGGAGGGUUGUUCGUGAUGGAUAAGUUCUAUUUUGAAGAGCUGGGGAAGUAUGACAUGAUGAUGGAUGUGUGGGGAGGAGAAAACCUGGAGAUCUCGUUCCGCGUGUGGCAGUGUGGCGGCAGCCUGGAGAUUGUCCCCUGCAGCCGCGUGGGACACGUGUUCAGGAAGCAGCACCCCUACACCUUCCCGGGAGGCAGCGGCACUGUCUUCGCCCGUAACACCCGCCGGGCAGCAGAGGUCUGGAUGGACGAAUACAAGAACUUCUACUACGCAGCAGUGCCUUCUGCCAGAAACGUCCCUUACGGAAAUAUUCAGAGCCGACUGGAGCUCAGGAAGAAACUUAACUGCAAGCCUUUCAAAUGGUACCUGGAAAAUGUCUACCCAGAGCUAAGGGUUCCUGACCAUCAGGAUAUAGCUUUUGGGGCCUUGCAGCAGGGAACCAACUGCCUGGACACUUUGGGCCACUUCGCUGAUGGUGUUGUUGGAGUUUACGAGUGUCACAAUGCUGGGGGCAACCAGAAAUGGGAGCAGAUCGAGGGCAAUUCUAAGCUGCGGCAUGUGGGCAGCAACCUGUGCCUGGACAGCCGCGCAGCCAAGACGGGCGGCCUGAGCGUGGAGGUGUGCGGCCCGGCGCUGUCGCAGCAGUGGAAGUUUUCGCUCAACCUGCAGCCGUAGCGGAGCCUCCCGCGCCUGCCCGCGCCUGCCCGCCCAGCGACGAGCACGUCAUCAAGUCUGUUUCUUAAACUUUCCGAGAAACUAUAUACCUCAGUAUUCCAUCAUGGUCUGCAGGUCGGGAGACCUCAGCGCAGUGCGGGCGGCACCAGAGCCGCGAGCAGAUGGAGCUGCCGCGCCCUCCUCGCCCUGCGCCCCGGCCGCCCAGCGCCCCUGCGGAGCACCGCGCCCCGGAGGGUGGACCGGGAGAGAAGGGGCGCCCUGCGCACAGUGAGGGCCCCUCUCCAGCCUCCACCCAGAUCCAGACAUCUGUGCGGGGUCCACCCCGGUCGCGGCCACGGUGUUUCCCCGGGCCUGCCUCCCAACUGUCUUACCAGCGCAGACCCCUUCCAUGUGGUGUACCUGCUCUCUUUGGAUAUGAACUUUUCUACG
rnacentral:lncRNA from 1 species